rnacentral:lncRNA from 1 species
CGAGUCCUUGGAUUGAUACCUAGGUUGUCCCUAUACUACAUUAGUGGGGAAAUCUAGUUUGUUCUGAUUUUGUGCGACCAAAAUCAGUCUAACAGUAAGCAAGAACAAGAGUUGUCUUGUCAAGCCCGUGAACUAGUGUCUUCUGAGUAGGCCUUUGAAUCUCUCCCAUGCUUGUCCUAGAGUUUCUUCCAUGCCUUGCUUGAAUGAUGAGAUUUCCAGUCUUCCCUGAGUAACUUUAGACUGUGGAAAAUAUUUGUUGACGAAUUUUGUAGCCAUAGUCUCCCAUGUAGUAAACGUCCGUUCAGGGAAGGAAUUAAGCCACGUCUUAGCAUUGCCUCCCGAUGAGAACGAAAACAAGCUAAGCCUCACUCUAUCAUCUGAUACACCUGCCAUCUUCACUGUAUUGCAGAUUUCACUAAACGUUGUCAGAUGGUCAUAGGGGUUCUCAUUCGACAGGCCGUGAAACUAGUUGCUUUGCACCAGAUGUAUAAGUGCUGGAUUCAUCGCCAUGUUGGUCAUUUGAUCUGUAGACAUGGCUAUGCUGUUAAAAUGGAAAGGGCCAACAACAUUAGAUUGGUCUACAAGAGUGCGUCUUGGAGGAGUUCGUUCAGCCAUCUCCUCUGUUCUUCUAACUGGUGAAGGUGAUAGUAAUCUUUCAGGGGAAGGAAACAAAUCCCUAGAUGGGCGUCCGACUCUCCUUCUUCCCCUUGUCUCGCUUAAGCCUUCAAGAUGAGGUUGCGUAUUUUUCUUGCUCCUAGUGUGUCUAGUCUCCUACUGUAUGCACAAGAAACACAAACCCUAGUAGCACUUUUUUUAUAAAAAGAUAAAAAGAAAAAAAUAAAAUAUAUACAAUCAAGUCAAAUUUAAUCAGUUUACACUACUAAAUAAGUUAAACCACGAGUCCCCGACAAUGGCGCCAAAAACUUGUUAAGUCCCUGGCAAGUGUACCAGAUCGUUAUCAAGUAAUAUAAAUGGGUAAGUCCAAGUAUCGUUUCGCAAAGGACUCUUACCUUACUUUUCAAGUAAACUAAUCGCGUAAGACUUGAGAAAAGAAUUAAGUUGAGUUGUUAAUGCAAAAAACAAAAGUAAACAUGCAAAUGCAAUGAUUCAAUUGGUUUAAAGAAACUAUGGAUGAAUGGAGUUGUUGGGGUUUACAAUUUCAUCUUAUUCACCCUCAUAUAUCUACUUUUCUUAUUUAAUUAGCUUAUUUAUCAUAUUGUCAUGCAAACUUUCUUAGUCUACCCUUAACCCAAUCCCUUGGUGAAAAGAUCCUAUUACUAAUUACCGGCGUGCUAUCCCUAGCCUCCCCUAGUAAUUAAUAAUGCAUGAUAAGCGGAAGAAAAAUACAAUUGAUCGUCCUACCCCUAUCCUUAGGCGGUAUUAACAUAAUCAAGGAAUUCAACACCAGUUCAUGACAUUACUGUACGUCCCCGUAUCAAUAAGGACAAACAACAUUUACUGAAUGAAAUAAACGAUAAAAGCAUUAAGCAUAGGUGAAGAACCCAACAAUUGAUAAAUCAAGCUGAUGAGUUGAUAUUUUCUUGACUGUAUUUAGUUUAUUGCACUUAAAUAAAUCAGGGAAUUGUGUUUAAUUGUCCAUUAUUUUCCUGUUUUUCCUAAUUCUGCUUAAUUUGGUCGGAAAUUCGUAUUUUUACUAAUUUUAAUUUUCUGAGAUGAUUAAUUGCAUUUUUGGUUGCUGGAAAAUUUUUGGAAACAUCAUUUGGAGCAUUAGGAUGGAGGCAUGGUCAUUAAAGACUCAACAAUUAGGCAUUUCAAUUUUAAUUAAAUUGUAACUUAGUUGUUUAGGAACUUUAAUUAGGAUUUUGUGCAUUGGGCCAAUGUUGGAAAAUUUGAUGAUAGGCCCAAAGUUGUAAGACACAUGGCACAAAACCCUAGGGUUUCUU